GAGAGAAAUAAAUCAGGGCUCCUCCGCACCACUUUUAUUACUAAACUAGAGUGGUCUGGUUUUAGGGAGAGAAAGAGAUAGGGGAAAAACAGAACUGGGAAGUUUGUUCUUACAUGGGGAAUAACCUUAGAAUAGUGAUGAAGAGCAGGCUUAUUCUAGAGAAAGAAUGAAGAAAUAGGAGCUUUUCUAUCAAGCUCCUCUUAAAUCAUGCUGGGAAGAGUUGGAGUCUGGGGCCCUUUAUAAAGCAGGCUCUUCUAUUUCUCCAUUAGUGUAUGAUAAGAGACAACUAGGAGGAGAUGCUGAUUGAAGAAUCCUGGUGCUGUGAGAACAUGUGAUGUUGUACAGGCUUCAUCAAGGAGAUGGUGGAAAGAAGGGUGGCCAGCAAAGCAGUGCUGAAUAAGUGACCUAUAUCUUUCUCUGGACCUGGGGAUCCUGGGAUCUGUAUGGACUGAGAAACUGAGGCACACAAGAUAAGAGACACAAGUACCAAGUCUGAGCUGGGAAGAGAAUUCUAAUCAGACUGAUACAUCAUCUCUAGAAUAGUCACCUAGCUCUGUCUUUCUACUUC